CUGCAGCCGCGGUUUGGACUGCCCGGAACGUCCAGCCAAGCCGGGGCUGAGUCAAGCCAACAGGGAGACUGCAGACUGCGGUGCUGGGCAGGGGCAGGGCCGCUCCUGCCGCCGCACGCCAAAGCUUUCCGCCUCCUCCCGAGUGAUUUAAGAGGGUUCGGGACCCAGAUAAGACCCCGCCCUUGCAGCCACGACCCCGGAACGGGAGGAGGAGAGAGGCGGCCUCGGCUCAGCAGAGCCAAGCCUUUGGAAAAACAGGCUGCUCCUCCCCAGCGACCAGCAGCGGCCCGGGCUGGGCUAGCGGCGCGUCGCGGCCGGUGCGCGCCGAGCGGCUCCCAGAACCCCUGACUCUGGAGUGGCGGAUUGGAAUCCUCCUGGAUGUGGAAUCCAAGACUGGCUUGAGACCUCCUGACAUCUCUGAGCUUUGGCUUCCACAUCUGUGGAACAAGGACAAUAGAACUUCCUGGCCUCGGAGGAGACUACCAGAUGACCUACAAGGUCAGGUUCUUGGCAGAGAAUGACAAAGUAAUUGUCUCCAUCACAGCCACCCACAGUCCCCAAACCUACAAAGAGCUGCUGGGCCUGGAGUCCUUGAGUUUGGAACAUCCUUGCCCCCAAAAAGCCCACCCCCACCCCCCAUAUUGUCGAAGCUUUGGGAGUCUACCUGCAGACGAUAGAAGAGGUAACGGGAGGAUGGCUGCUCUACCCGGAAAAGCUCGAGUGUUACCUAGCAAUACCUUAACCCCAGCUCCAGCUCACAACAGGGCACCCUGGGGCUCUCAUCACACGCCAACCCCCCCCCCAACACCAGUGCCUUGGAAAGCAGACCCUGAAAAUCUCUCAUAGCCUAAAAAAAGCAGGGAUGCCCGCCCCCCCCCCAACUCAGAUUAAACACAGGCUGUCUUUCUGGGCCCUCCAGCUUCCUGCCUCCUCUCCACGCCCCUCCUCCCUCCCUCUCCCCUCUUUGUCUACUGUCUUUCCACCUCCACUUCUCCCCACUCACCCCUCUCCCUGACAGCAGCCGCCUUGCCACCUUACCCCACAGAGAGUCAGGGCCCAGAGCCCUCCCCACUCUGCUUCAGACCCAGCACUUCUCUCGACUCUGCCUUGUGGAAUGGCCCAGGCCCUGAACUUUUUCCCUCUGGGUAUCCACGAUUCCUUCCCUCCCAUUGAUGCAUAACCUGAGCCCUGGGCUCCUUGUCUAGAGUCACACUGGGUGCCUCCUGCUGUCUUGUGAGUCAGGAAGCAAGUAGCCAAGGGGGUCCCUCUGGGGGACCUGGCUCCCCUCCUUACCAGCUAGACACCUGGGAGGGGUUUUGGGGACCUGUCACUGGGCAAGCAGGUGAGGCAGGUUUGGGGGUCCUGAGUCUGAUUGUCCACAAGCUCAGGGCUUACUGUCCAGACCUUUGGGGCAUCCCCAUGUGGGGUUCCUGGUAGGGUCUUCUUGACCCCCUACUCCCUCCCUCUCUUCCUUCCAGGCAGCGACCCUUCCCCUAGCUGUUGAUAAGCCCCGGCAAACACAUCACAGCCACACCCUGUAUGCAGGAGGAGCUGUUUGAGCAGAUGUUUAAUAUACAAAACAACAAUAGUCAUUAUUUUGUUGAAUGGAUUGCCAACAACCGAAGCCAUCUGUUUUCUUCAACAUCCUACCCUAACGCCUAAAAAUGCCUGCCGCCUCCCAUGCCAAAAACACGACCACCCAAGAGCUGUCUGAGCAUAUCUAUAAGUAGUUCUCUGCCCGGAUCCACUGCAAGGCUACAAAUAGUCCCUGACACCCCCAACCUUCCCUCUGAUGGGGCCUCAUGAAGGAAGAGACAGAGCUUUACAUUCUGCACUAUGGGUUAUGGCUUGCUUUCUCCCCCGCCCCCACCCUUGGUGUUUUCUUUGCUUAAACAAACAAACAGACAAACCUAUUUUACUCUGAAGAUGAAUCUCUUGCUAUCUACAGAUUUACUACCAGACCCAUAUCUAGCUUCCCACCCCCCUACUGCUGACCCAACUUCUGAAGCUCAUGCUGAAAGAGCGCCCAUCUCCACAUCCUCUGCUACCCCUGUGCCCAUCACCAUUCCUGAGUCCUGCGUUUUCCCCUCUGACUGCAGCAGAGAAAUCCUGGAAAGAUGUCAUUGGACUAUGUGUAUUUUUUUUUCCCUUCACUUUUUAUUACACAAGUAAGACAAUACACCUCUAUUAUUAAAAAUAUCUCAAAAAGGGGGGCACCUGGGUGGCUCAGUGGGUUAAAGCCUCUGCCUUCGGCUCAGGUCAUGACCCCAGGGUCCUGGGAUCAAGCCCCACAUCGGGCUUUCUGCUCAGCAGGGAGCCUGCUUCCUCCUCUCUCUCUGCCUGCUUCUCUGCCUGCUUGUGAUCUCCAUCUGUCAAAUAAAUAAAUAAAAUCUUUAAAAAAAAAUCUCAAAAAGGAAAUAAAAAGAAUUCUUUAUGCUAAACCCCGUGGGACACAGUUAAAGUUGUACUCAGAUGCACAUUAGCAGUCUGAAAAGCUUUUAUUGGGGCACCUGAGUGGCUCAGUUGUUAAGCAUCUGCCUUCCCGCUCAGGUCAUGAUCCCAGGGUCCUGGGAUCGAAUCCCUGAAUCAGGCUCUCUCCCUCUCCCACCCUGCUUGUGUUCCCUCUCUCACUGUGUCUCUCUCUGUCAAAUAAAUAAAUAAAAUCUUAAAUGCUCUUACUUAUAAAAGACUCAAAGUAAAAGAAUCAAGGACUCAACUUGAGAAAUUAGGAAAAAUGAGUAAAAGGAGAGAGAAAAAUAAGAUGAAAGUGAACAUUAAUGAGAUGGGAAAAACAUACUAAGAGAAUAAAUAAAAUUGUUUGAAAAGAAAAAAGAUCCGUUGGAAGAGACAAAUAAAAUGAGAGAAAUCUUAACUAAAGGUAAGUCUGAAGAAAGCAAGCUCAGCGGGGAGCCUCCUUCUCCCUCUCCUUCUAUCUGCUGCUCCCCCUGCUUGUGCUCUCUCUCUCUGUCUCUCUAGCAAAUAAAUAAAAUCUUUUUUAAAAAAUCAAUGUCA